AUUGAACGCUGGCGGCAGGCCUAACACAUGCAAGUCGAGCGGAAACGACACUAACAAUCCUUCGGGUGCGUUAAUGGGCGUCGAGCGGCGGACGGGUGAGUAAUGCCUAGGAAAUUGCCUUGAUGUGGGGGAUAACCAUUGGAAACGAUGGCUAAUACCGCAUAAUGCCUACGGGCCAAAGAGGGGGAUCUUCGGACCUCUCGCGUCAAGAUAUGCCUAGGUGGGAUUAGCUAGUUGGUGAGGUAAUGGCUCACCAAGGCGACGAUCCCUAGCUGGUCUGAGAGGAUGAUCAGCCACACUGGAACUGAGACACGGUCCAGACUCCUACGGGAGGCAGCAGUGGGGAAUAUUGCACAAUGGGCGAAAGCCUGAUGCAGCCAUGCCGCGUGUAUGAAGAAGGCCUUCGGGUUGUAAAGUACUUUCAGUUGUGAGGAAGGGKGUGUAGUUAAUAGCUGCRYCUCUUGACGUUAGCAACAGAAGAAGCACCGGCUAACUCCGUGCCAGCAGCCGCGGUAAUACGGAGGGUGCGAGCGUUAAUCGGAAUUACUGGGCGUAAAGCGCAUGCAGGUGGUUCAUUAAGUCAGAUGUGAAAGCCCGGGGCUCAACCUCGGAACUGCAUUUGAAACUGGUGAACUAGAGUGCUGUAGAGGGGGGUAGAAUUUCAGGUGUAGCGGUGAAAUGCGUAGAGAUCUGAAGGAAUACCAGUGGC
rnacentral:rRNA from 1 species